CAAAAGCCUUCAACUUUAAUAAUUUGUAUGAUCACCACUUUUAAAUUAAUGUUACUGCCCCUUUAAGACGCCUUCCUAGCCACGAGCUAGUAUGAGUUAGACGCGAGCAAGUUCACCUAACGGAAAAAACGAAAAGACGCAAAAUCAUUCAUCAUGGGACAACAUACAGCACCGAACUAUAUAGGAAUUAAACAACUUUCACGUCUUUUCUAUCACCAAACCGAGUCUGUUCCAUCACAUCUAAGCGACAAUUUCGUGGUGCUUUCAAAAGUAUGACUGUUUUGAAGCGAUCAUGAAAUGGAAGCCAGGGCUAGAAGAGGAGGUGGAGCUCCUGAUAGCUGAGGUCUUAAAACAUGCCCCUGCAGCCCACACCAAAAGUUUAAGGGUCGGAUGGAACAGCAGGUGGAAGACCACAAAAUUGAAUUUCCACAUUAUUUUAAAUAAAAUAUAAUGUUAGUGUA